ACCAAUUGGAAGUUAUAAGGGAACAUUGGAGCAACUAGGAACAAAAGAGGAGGUCAAGGAGUGAAGGAAUGAAACUUGAGGACCAAAAUGACUCAAACUAGAAGUUAGCUCUACUAUGCGGUCGCAUAGUAUAAAACCUAUGCGAUCGCAAGUGAACCUCCAGGGAUUAAAAACGCCAUUUUUCUUAAGCCUAUGCGGUCGCAUAGGUUAUGCCUAUGCGGUCGAAUAGGUAUAAUUUUCCCCCGAAUUUUGCAAUUUCCUUAUAUGAUUGCAACUCCUUUGGUAACCUAAUUUGGACGGGUUUAAAUAGCAACAAGACAUCCAGAAGCCACACGAACAACUUGGGAGGCAAAAACAUUCAUCUUGGAGUGGAUUUAAAAGCAAAAACAAGAAUUGAUGCAAAAUUUAGAAGAUUUUUUCAAGUUUUGAUAACCCGGUGAUGUAUUUUAUUCAUACUUUGUUAGAUUUCAUUAUUUUUAUCAUGAUAGGCUAGAUUUUUGCAACUAGGUGAUCGAUGAACCAUGUAAUUAUUAUUAAACUUGCUAUUUCAUGAUUUUGAAUUAUUAGUUCGAUGGGAUAUUUGAAUGAAUUUUAUUGGUUUAUUUAUUUUCACAAUUAAUGUGCACUUAAUUUGUGUGAAUUUGGUGGUUUAAUUCUGAAUUUGAGAAAAUUAGAUUAAACUCGACAUAUAUAAUUCAUCAUAGGGUCCGAUAGGGGAUAGAAAUAUACCCCUAUGCCCUAUGUAAAUCUUUAAUUGCUCACAAAAAGAUUUUAUGCGUUCUUGUAUAAUUGCAUCCGUCAUAGAGAUAUAGGCUGAUGAUUUAUUAGAAUAGGUUCAAUAUAUCUCGAGAGAGAGUAUUGAAUAGAUUUAGGAGCAUUGAUUUAUCAAAUUCUUAUUGAAUUAUCAAAAUUGUGAAAUUAGGGUUUAAUUAGUAAUUAUUUGGGGAUUCGUGAUCCUAGUGAAUUCGUUUUAUAUAGAUUUUCAUAAAUUGACAAUACAUUUCAUUUAUUUUUCAUAACAUUUCGUAAUAGAGUCAUUAGUUAAGUGAAUUUAAAUAAUUAGGGUUUGAUUUGAAAUUAGGGUUUUUCAAUUUGGGGAUUUCUCCCAAAAUUAGGGUUUUUGAUUCCAAAAUUCAUUUUAACUCAAUUAGUUUCGGUUAAUGCUAAAAUAAGUAAAAUUGAACUACUCUUUCUUUGUGGGAGAUACUCGGACUUUUAAAGUCCAUUUUAUUACUUGUCACGACCCGUACACUUGCGAUAAUUUAAAUCGAAAGAAAUAUUUCGCGAACAAAUUUUUGGCGCCAUUGCCGAGGAUUGAGUUUAGUUUAAUUUUAUUUCUUGAGGCACUAAUUCGAACUUAAUUUUUUAUUUAGCAUAAUUUUGUUUUUAUUUUUAUUUGUAUUUUAGUUUAUUUUUCUCUAUUUGUAUUUUAGUUAAUUAAAUUGUUUGAAUUUAAGUGCUCGUACUGGUUUUAAUUCUCAGAUUUGCAUGUCACGAUUGCCUGGAGGAGAAUUGAUUCCAGCUGAUCCUGAAAUUGAGCGCACCUUUCACCGACGACAAAGAAAUCACCGCGAAGCGCAAGUACAAAUGGCCAACGAAUUAAACAAUCCCAUGAUUCAUGAUAAUGAAGGAGAGGCAAUGGACGAAGGGAAUGAGAUUCUGGAGGAUUUCUUGACUCCUCAAGUGAUUCAAAGCCAGUCCAGCAUAGUGUAUCCACCGUUUGGGAAACCUAAUUUUCAGUUGAAGACCAAUGUGAUACGGCUGUUUCAAAAUGGACACCAAUUCUAUGGCAAGGCUGAGGAGAACCCACACACACAUGUAUCUCGAUUUCUAGAUAUGUGUCAACAUUUCAGAUACCAAGGGAUUUCGGAUGACGCCAUUAGGUUGAGGCUUUUUCCACAUACGCUACGAGACCGAGCACUUGAAUGGUUGGAUUCACUCCCGGUUGCAAGUAUCACUACAUGGAAUGAGCUGGCACACAAGUUCUGCACAAAGUUCUUCUCCCCAGCCAAGAUAGCAAAGCUGAGACAUGAUAUAUCAGUAUUCAAUCAAGGAGAGACUGAAUCAUUUGAUGAAGCCUGGAACAGAUUUAAAAACAUGCUCCGGAAAUGCCCUCAGCAUGGGUUCGAUAAAAAGACCCAAAUCCGAUUCUUCUACACAGGAUUACUUCCAUACCAUAAGAGCAUGGUAGAUUCAGCAUCAGGUGGCUCAAUAUCCACAAGAACAGUUGAUGGGGCAUUGGAAUUAUUUGAGCGAAUGGCUACCACAUCAGCCAUGUGGUCUUCUGAGAGGGCAACUCCAAAGAAAACUCCAGGUGUCUACGAGGUGGACACUUAUUCAGCAAUCUCUGCAAAAAUUGAUUCUCUAUAUCACAAGGUGGAGAGCAUAUCACAAGCAUCACAAGCUAAGAAGAGCAAUUGUGAGGAAUGUGGAGUCAAACACAAAACAUCAGAUUGCCCUAUACUCAUGCAAGGAAUUGAGCAAGCAGACUACGCACAGUGGGGACAACGCCAACAGCAUAAUCAAUAUGGUGAGACUUUCAAUCCCAGCUGGAAGAAACAUCCCAACUUCUCGUGGAGCAACCAGAAUCAGAAUAAGCCACAGGGACAGUUUCAACAACAGGAGAAGAGGCCUCAAUUGGAAGAUAUGAUAGGAAAGUUCAUGGAGAAGGCCGAAGUUACACUUCAAAAUCAAAAUGCAGCCAUCAAAAAUUUGGAAACUCAGAUGGGGCAGCUAGCCAUCACAUUGACUGGCAGAACACCAGGUAAUUUAUCAAGUAAUACAGAAAUCAAUCCUAAAGAGUAAGCAAAGGCCAUUACAACUCGAAGUGGAGUUCAAUUACUUGAAAUUCAUGUCAAGAGAUCGAGAGUGAUUGGAGAAACAUCUUCCUCCGCUGAAGAGGAGACAGUUGUAAAGGAAUCAAGUUCAAAGGAAAAUUCACAAGAAUCACAAGAUAAUGCCAAAGUCACAGUCAACCCCUACGAACCUUCGAUUCCCUUUCCACAGCGCUUGAAAAAGCAAAAAGUGGAGCAACAAUACAAAAAAUUUCUAGAAAUCUUCAAAAAGCUCCAUAUCAAUAUCCCGCUAGCAGAUGCACUAUUCCAGAUGCCUAGCUACACGAAGUUUUUGAAGGAUAUCAUAUCAAAUAAACGCAAGCUGGAAGAUCAUGAGACAGUCAUGCUUACUGAGGAAUGUAGUGCCAGAAUUCAGAAUAAGCUUCCACCAAAACUAAAAGAUCCAGGGAGUUUUACUGUUCCUUGCACAAUCGGUGAAGUAUAUUUCGAUAUAGCAUUAUGUGACCUCGGUGCAAGUAUUAAUUUAAUGCCUUUGUCUGUUUUGAGGAAACUAGGAUUGGGAGAAGCUAAAGCAACCACUGUGACCCUUCAGCUGGCUGACAGGUCACUGACACAUCCCAGAGAAAUAAUUGAAGAUGUACUUAUCAAAGUUGAGAAGUUCAUAUUUCCAGCAGACUUUCUUAUCCUGGACAUGGAAGAGGACAAAGACGUUCCCUUGAUACUUGGCAGACCAUUUCUGGCAACAGGGAGAGCAUUAAUAGAUGUUCAAAGAGGUCAAUUGAUUUUAAGAUUGGGAGAGAAGCAGAUAUCAUUCAAUGUAUUCAAGGCAAUGAAGUUACAAGCAGAAUCUGACAGCUGUUAUCAAGUUGACAUUAUUGAUAAGGCAGUCUAAGAAACACUUUUACUACACGGUCCAUCUGAUGCCUAUGAGGCAUGUAUUGCACAAUCCCAAUCAAUCCAGUCAGAGUCUGUUGAAGUUGAAACAUGUGCAAGAUUUUUGGAGACCAACCCGCCAUACACACGAAAGAGGCACUUCGAGGAACUGGGGAUAGGAAACACAAAGCCAUUACCUUCAGUUCAGCAGCUGCCAGUUUUAGAACUCAAACAACUGCCGCCACAUCUCAAAUAUGCUUAUUUAGGAGAAUCAGAUGCACUUCCAGUAAUCAUUUCGAACACAGUCAGUGAAAUGGAGGAGGAAAAAUUGCUCAGGGUAUUUAGAGAGAACAAGACGGCGGUUGGUUGGACAAUAGCUGACAUUAAAGGAAUCAAUCCUUCCAUGUGCAUGCAUAAAAUUUUAAUGGAGGAAAAUUGCAAGCCUAGCAUAGAAAGUCAGAGAAGAUUGAAUCCGAACAUGAAGGAAGUAGUCAGGGCAGAGAUACUGAAGUUAUUGGAUGCAGGAAUUAUCUACCCAAUUUCAGAUAGUGCAUGGAUUAGCCCUGUUCAAGUGGUACCGAAAAAAGGGGAAAUUACAGUGGUGAAAAAUGAGAAGAAUGAACUAAUUCCCACCAGAACAGUUACGGGUUGGAGAGUUUGCAUUGACUAUCGCAAACUCAAUGCAGCUACACGAAAGGAUCACUUCUCACUCCCAUUCAUUGAUCAGAUGUUGGAGAGGUUGGCUGGACAUUCACACUACUGCUUUCUUGAUGGAUACUCGGGCUAUAAUCAGAUACCUGUCGCACCAGAGGAUCAGGAGACGACCACUUUCACUUGUCCCUACGGUACUUUUGCUUAUCGUAGGAUGCCUUUUGGUCUUUGCAACGCUCCAGCCACAUUUCAGAGGUGCAUGAUGGCAAUAUUCUCUGACAUGAUUGAAAAGGUUUAUCGAGGUUUUCAUGGACGAUUUCUCAGUAUUUGGAUCUUCAUUUGAUGAAUGUCUAAACCACUUGAAUUUGGUCUUACAGAGAUGCAAGAAGACUAACUUAGUUUUAAAUUGGGAAAAAUGCCACUUUAUGGUGCAAGAAGGCAUUGUACUUGGGCAUAGGAUAUCGGCAAAAGGAAUUGAGGUAGACAAGGCAAAAAUUCAAGUGAUUGAGAAAUUACCACCGCCUACAUCAGUUAAAGGAGUUCGUAGUUUUUUUGGGCACGCUGGGUUCUACCGGAGGUUUAAAAAAGAUUUCUCGAAGAUCACUAAACCUUUAUGCAACUUACUAAUGAAAGAUGCAACUUUUGAGUUCAAUGAAGAUUGUCUCUCAGCCUUCAACACUUUAAAGGAAAAGCUUACGACAGCACCAGUGAUUGUAGCGCCAGACUGGGAAUUACCUUUUGAAUUGAUGUGUGAUGCAAGUGAUCACGCUGUAGGUACAGUAUUGGGACAGCGGAGGAAUAAGAUUUUUCACGUGAUCUACUAUGCAAGCAGAACUCUAAAUGAUGCACAACUAAAUUAUGCAACCACUGAAAAGGAGCUAUUGGCUGUGGUUUGCAUUUGACAAAUUCAGGUCAUACCUUGUCGGAUCUAAAAUCAUCAUCUAUACUGAUCAUGCUGCAUUGAAGUAUCUGCUCACAAAGAAGGAUGCAAAGUCGAGAUUAAUUCGUUGGGUGCUGUUGUUGCAAGAAUUUGACAUUGAGAUACGCGACAAGAAGGGCACCGAGAACGUAGUAGCAGAUCACCUAUCCAGACUAGAAUCUGGGGAGACGAAAGAUUUAGUGGAUAUAAAUGAGAUAUUCCCGGAUGAACAGAUGUUGAGAGUGGAUGAAGCACCUUGGUACGCAGAUAUUGUCAAUUACUUGGCCAGUUCCAUUCCACCGCCUGACUGAUCCAGUCACCAGAGAAAAAAAUUCUUCGUCGAGUUAAAAUACUAUUUCUGGGAGGAUCCAAUUCUCUAUAGACGAGGAGCUAAUCAGAUAGUGAGGAGUUGCGUACCUAAAGAAGAAGUAAAUGAGAUUCUCGAGCACUGUCACUCAUCCGCAUAUGCAGGACACUUUGGAGCUUCAAAAACAGCUGCAAAGAUUCUACAAUCAGGUUUGUUAAGAGAUGUGACAGAUGUCAACACACUGGGAAUAUCUCGAGGAGAAAUGAAAUGCCAUUGAACAAUAUUUUGGAAGUGGAGAUAUUUGAUGUUUGGGGAAUUGACUUCAUGGGACCUUUUUCCCUUUCAUUCUCAAACCAGUAUAUCUUGGUAGCAGUGGAUUACGUCUCGAAAUGGGUGGAAGCAGUUGCAUUGCCAACAAAUGAUUCAAAGACAGUAAUUGGUUUCUUGAAGAAAUACAUUUUCACCCGAUAUGGUACACCGCGGGCUAUAAUCAGCGAUGGGGGCAAGCAUUUGUGUAAUCGCCAGUUUGAGCAACUACUGAGUAAAUAUGGCGUUAAACACCGCGUUGCUACUCCAUAUCAUCCACAAACCAGCGGGCAAGUUGAGGUAUCUAAUCGACAGCUGAAGAGAAUACUAGAAGUCACUGUGAAUUCAUCUAGAAAGGAUUGGUCUAAAAAGCUGGACGAUGCAUUAUGGGCUUACAGAACAGCAUUCAAGACCCCGAUCGGCAUGUCUCCAUACCGCCUAGUCUUUGGGAAAGCAUGUCAUCUGCCAUUAGAAAUGGAGCAUCGGGCAUAUUGGGCUAUGAAACAGUUAAAUAUGGACUUGAAUGCCGCCGGAGAAAAGCGUCUACUGCAACUGAAUGAGUUAGAUGAAUUUAGAAUGGAAGCUUAUGAGAAUGCAAAACUUUACAAGGAGCGAACCAAGAAGUGGCAUGAUAUGCACAUUCAGAGGCGAGUAUUCGAAGUGGGGCAGCAAGUACUACUGUAUAAUUCGAGACUCAAGUUAUUCCCAGGAAAACUACGAUCACGGUGGUCGGGUCCCUACACAGUUACAAAAGUUCUACCAUAUGGGGCUAUACAAGUGAGCAAUGAGAAUAAGGGUACCUUCACUGUCAAUGGGCAAAGGUUGAAACACUACUAGGGCGGUGACUUCUCUAACCAAAAGUCAACCAUUCAACUCGAGACGCAGGAAUGAAGCAGCCGCAGAAAAGUCGAGCUAUCGAUUAUAACUUAGCACUGGGUGGGAGGCAACCCACUGUAUCCUUUUUAUCUGUUUAUUUACUUUAUUAUGUUUUCUGCAUUAAAUUAGGAAGUUUAUUUUCAAAUUCAUUUAGUAUUCCGUUAUGUGGUCAUCAAUCAUCUAGGCAUUUAAAAGAGUCCAAGCACUGUGCACACGAGUCAUCAAGUAUCACACACAAGUUCGGGUUGAUUUACGUUGUUUUGGGUAGUUGACUGUGGAAUUCACGUAUUUCGAGGAAUAUUAUGUUUUCUAAAUUUCACUGUCAAUAUUUUAAAAAUAUGUUUCUGAAAAAUUUGGGGACGUUGAGAGUCGGGUCCUUUUUUUUUUUUUUUUUUGGGGACAAAAAUGGCAUUUUUUUUAUUUUAUUUCUUUAUAAAAAAAAAGUGUGCCUAUGCGAUCGCAUAGACAUGGUGUCUAUGCGACCGCAUAGGUACCUACCGAAAGUUAAAGUCACCAAACCAAUAUACCUAUGCGACCGCAUAGGUUAUAACCAUGCGGCCGCAUAGGUAGAAAAAGGCGUGGGUUUUUAACCCACGCCCGAAUCAUUUGCUAAGGGUUUCAAUAUUAUUUUCGACCUCUCACUCUCCUCCCAAAUCGAUUUUAGGCUAACAUCACACACCAAUUCAUUCGUUGCAUUGUGAUAUAAUUGAUAGGAAAUCCAUUCUCUCCAUUGAUUAAACCCUACAAAGAAAAGGUAUGUGUUCUUUCACCCCUCCCUCAAUUCAUUUCCGAUUUUAUUAAUUAUAAAUGUAAUUUUGGCGAUUUGAGGGAGAUUAGGAUAGUUCUUGUACAUAUGGAUUGAUUGUGCUUGUGUUGUGCGAAAAUUUGGAAUGAUUCUAAACCAAAAUUCUUUCAAUUUCCACCAUUUCCACUCUAUGCUUGUAAUGUGUUUGAUAAAUUGUCACAUUGAUAAUUUUUGGGUAUUUUGAUAUAUUUUGCCUUAAAUUCAUUUGAUUGAUGGAUGUGUAUGCGCUUGGUGAUUGAUUUUUGAAUGGGGAACCAUGUGAAAUAGUAAAUGUUUGGCUAGUAUAUGAAGGUCUCACAAUGCAUACAACAUGUUCGAUAAAAUGCCCAUUUUUGGUAAUCUAAUACAUUUAUGAACAUCUAGCUUGGCAUUUGACUAUUCGAUGAAUGGAAUAACUCGUUGUGAUGUAUUACCAAACAAUGUGACUUAGACGACAUCAACACACAUGCACAAAAAUAGCUAAGUCAUAGCAUGCCCACAGCACCCUCCGUCCCUUCGUUUACACUACUAUUUGACACACCAAACGAACUCCGAUUGAGCUGAAAUUUGGGUAUGUGCUAGACCUCAUUACAUACUUCUAUAUGCCUGGAGGUUGCCCGAGACAAUCUUGAUAAUUCUCGAUGGUGCCUGGGGCCGAAUGUGUACACUCAAUCAUGACUCCAACCCUUUAACUAUUAGCAUAUUCUUCCAAAUUUUCUUAUUUUUUCAUAUGGACUAUACAUUUAUACUACUCUAAUCAUCAUACAUUGUUCAUUACACCGUGGUAAUAUACAUGCUUAUUGAAACAAGUUUGGGGGAUUUGUGCUUUACGUGCUUUUCAUUUCAUGCGAUUUCUCGCUGUAUAACAAGAUGUCUAAUGCUAGCUAUUUUCCAACUUUGCAGGAUGCCACCAAAACGAACUUCUAAAGGAAAGGAGAAGGUCGGCUCAUCAUCCGGCACAGCACGCACUCAAGUGCUUGAAGGAGGUAUACAAAGAUUUUUGACCGCCGAGGCAGCAGUCUUUUAUGAAAACAUAGUGAGUCGAUGGACAGUGACACCAGAAUGGGCUGUUAAAUUGGAAGACUUUCCUGGUUUCGAGCUGACUACUUUAGUGCAGAACUGUGGAUGGAAUAAAAUAGUGGAGCAGCCACAUCGGAGUUAUGAAUUGUUGGUGGGGGAAUUUUACGCCAACUUCAAUACAGAAAUUGACACACCAGGGUCCGACCACCUACAUCAGACUUGGGUCCGGGGAAAAUGGAUCACAUUCUCACUCGAAGUUAUUCAAGACUACUACCAGCUCACGUGGGAAAACAUAACGCCUAUACCAGGUGACUUCAAUUGGCCUGAAGUGGCGGAGAUCUUAUUGGGGCGACAAAAUGCAUGGCCACUCCCCACUACCGAGUGGCAUCAGAUUGAGCUGACACCGUCUAUAGCAAUCAUGUGGCUAUUUAUGUGCCACAACAUUGAGCUGACCUCUCACAGGACCACAUUUAUAGAUCCCACAGCUGGAUUCCUUUAUCACUUGGUGCGAGGUAAUAAGGUUGAUCUUGCCACUCUUUGCUAUGAUCAGAUACAUCAUGUGGGCACUUUGGGAGAUAGACACAGCUCAAUGAUCUUUCCAAGCCUCAUCUCCGGAAUUUGCAUAGCUGCUGGUAUAAAUAUUGUAUCUGGGGAAGUGGUUGCCAAACCCAGCCCCACCAUAAAGCGCAGUACCUUGGAGGCCCAAGACAGAGCCAGGUUAAAGCACUGGGAGAUGCAAGAAAUUGAAAGUAGCAGACAGCAAGAAUAGCAAGGUCACGAGCAAGCAGAGCAAGAGAUGCCUCAAGCUCCUCCAUCACAGACUGAGUUAAAUGCACAGUUGUGGCGCCAUAUUUUCACCACCACCACGGGGACCAGUCGAGACGUGCAGAGUCUCCAGCAGGCUAUGAGGACUUUGACGACUGAGAUGCAUACAGCCCACCGUGAUAUCCGCAUUUCCACUGAUAUGUCACGUGCUGCUCGCCAGGAUGCCCAGACAGUUAGGAGGGAGAUGGACACUAUGAACGGUCGACUCAGUGUGUAUGUGGGCAGGGUGGAUGGCAUCCAGAUGAGGGUAAAUGAAACCUGAGAGCAUUUGGGACGUUUGGAGACACGUGUUGAGGGAAUCCAUGAUGAAAUGACACAGCAGUCAGCACUGAUGAGAGAGAUCUUGGCGCGCCUACCUCCACCUCCAGAUGAUGAUACUGCAGGAUCUAGCUUCCCAUCGCGGCCCCCAUUUUGAUCAGGGGAGUAUCAUUUGCCUCAUUUGUAUUCAUUUUCCUUAUAUUCUACCUUCUAAACUUAAUUUUCGCAUUGUGGACAAUGUCUUGUAUAAGUUUGGAGGAUGGUGGCAUAAUUUGAUUAAGACUUCGGCAUGUAACUAAUUGCAUUUCCACAAUCUAGAUUUAUUUUGACUAAUUGUUGCAUGAGGCAUGCUUGUGAGUGAAUAUUGAUUAUGCUUAUAUAUGCUUGUGUGAGCUUAAUCGCCUUGCCGGCUAUGAUGUUACUAUUGGAUUAGUACAUUUCAAAACUUUGAAGUCGGUGUUAAUUAGGCUAACUAAUACUUGUGGAUGCAAUACUUGACAUUCUUUAUGCACGUCAUUCAUGCUUUACAUGUUAGGUAAGUGAUUGGGGUUUUGAGCAUAAAGUAGAAAGAUAAUUAUAACCCUCGAUUGAAUUAGCCCGUAAAGUACCUUAAGACAGUUUGGUAAUAGUUGAGCUAUUAUAGGAGAACAUUGAAAUGAGUGAGGCUCCAUGCAUGAAUUAUUAUGUGGAUUGCCUAGACCAGUAGGAUGAAGAGUAGGUGAAAGUCUUAAAUUGAGGGUUGGUUUUGGAUACCAGAUGUCUAGAAAAAUAAGGGCAUAAACUUAAUUUGUGAGAAUAAGACACUUCUUUUUCAGCCUUUUAUGACUCGAGCAAGUAAGCCUAUAAGGAUAUUUCAAAAUUUGGUGCCCUAAGGUCAACUGAUCUGGGAGUCACCGGCCUAAAGCUCGAUACAUGGGUCAUAUAGAAAGUAAGAAGUAAAGAAGUUAAUAAAAAGUCAUCUGAUCGAGCCUUUAUAACUCGGGUGAAUAAGCCUGCAAGGGUUUAAAACCUGAUGCCCUAAAACCAACUGGUUUGGGAGUCACCGGCCUAAAGCUCGUUACAUGGGUUAUAUAGAAAGCAAAUGAGAAGAUGAUAUAUAUAAAAAAAAAAACCAGAGAAAAGUAAGAAAAACAAAAGGAGACAGUAACAAGAAGAAAAGCCCUUGGACAAUUGGUGGAAGAAACUAUACCUUUGAGGCAAGGCAAGUAACCUAGUUUAGUCUUGAGUGUCGAAGCAAUCAAAACUAGGAGAGCCUUCACAUGUUGACGUGUGAACUUGUGAUAGUGAAAUUAAUCCGAACUACGAGAGGGUGAGAACUAAAGCUAGGUAAACUCAUAAAUUUUAAACACAACCCCGGGAUAAUUGAGUGAAAAGAAUAAGUUUGGGGGGUUGUGUAUCUCUCGAGCGAGUAAGGAGACAUUUGACCACUUGGGGUCGGGACUCAAACUCAUCAUGAACUUGAUAUGUUAGCAUGAAUCCACACACACACACGUCAAGUAUGCACUUCACAGGUAAAUGUUGAUGUCAUCUUGCACUGAUAAAUUUUCAUAAAAUCAAUUACUUAGUCCAAUCCUGAGCCAAGGCAAGGUGUUAAGCCAUGUUUGUUCAGAAUUAUAUCACUAUCUUGUUUGAGGACAAACAAUAGUUCAAGUUUGGGGGGUUUGAUAAGUGUGUUUUUGCACAUUUAUUUACAUCACAAACAUGACUUAAAUACAAGUAAAAUGAUUGAAUUGCUACUUAACUUUGUCAAAUUCAUGCAAUGUAGGAAAUUCUAUGGAAAUAGUGGAAUUCAGGAAAAAAGAGUCGAAAAAUGACCAAAUUGGAGCAAAAUGAAAAUCAGGGACCAAAUUGCAAUUAUCUGAAAGUUGACCCGAUGAACACAUCAAGCAAUUGAUCAAGCCAAGCACCAAUUGGAAGUUAUAAGGGAACAUUGGAGCAACUAGGAACAAAAGAGGAGGUCAAGGAGUGAAGGAAUGAAACUUGAGGACUAAAAUGACUCAAACUAGAAGUUAGCUCUACUAUGCGGUCGCAUAGUAUAAAACCUAUGUGGUCGCGAGUGAACCUCCAGGGAUUAAAAACGCCAUUUUUCUUAAACCUAUGCGGU
rnacentral:lncRNA from 1 species